CGAGAAAAAAGAAAAUCUUGGAAAAGCAGUGUUUUCCCCAGCUGAGUUCAAAAUGAAGCAAAAAAGCAUCUGCAAAACCUGGGCAACUGAAAAGUAAGGAAAUCCAGACUGCUUCCAUAUAAGAAACAAUGACAGUGCUGAAUCUGAAGAUGCUUUUUUAUAAGAUGCUUCUGUAAAGAACAUUUGGUAUGGCUUUAGUAUUCCAUCCAUAACUCAAGAUUUCACUGUUUUAAGUAUGUCUAUCACCAAAUAUUAAUACAACCAGUUUCCAAAUGGCCACCCUUUAAGAGAACUGUGUGCAAUUGCUGAAAAGAUCACUUUGGAUAAACUUAGGUUCUUCUCAUGAAAUGUUCUCCACGGGCUACAGAAAAUAGAUAUGGAAAUGGGUAAACACAGAUGACUGUGAAGUACCUUAAUCUGGCUGUGAGGGUCCCCCAGCUACCUGCUGUAAGGGUAAUUCAGAGCUCUGCACAAUGCGGAUCACAAAGGUGACGUGAGGCGUCAAUGAGACUUUACACAUGAAGCAUUCACCACAGUGCCAAACACACUGAAAGAAUUCGAGCAAAGACUGUGGUCAUCAUCAUCAUGUCAAUACAAGCACACGGUUGGGUACUAAGACUGUUGCUGAGCUGCUGAACAGGAAACAGGACAUUUAGGAUGGAAGAGUGUGUCAGCAACAGCUGCUCAAACCUAAUAUGUAGAAUCUGUUUGUUAGGAAAGCGGCAAGAAGUAGCAUUUACCAAGAGCAUUUACCCAGCGUGGGGUGGUGGGGGGACGAGCACAUGAGAGAGUAGUGUUUCAUUGAUCUGUGAGAAGUUUAUUUUUCCAUUCUACACUGCUAAAGUAAUCAAUUUCUUAAAUAAAGCAAAAGUACCGGUAUUGAUAAUCCCAAUGAUGGUUUAAGUUUUCUAGGACCACAGAGGUAUCAUAUUGAUGUUAUAAUAACACAAAUGCCAGGCUUGAUUGUGUUUGUCACAUUCACUGGUGGGAUUUGAUUGCUAGAAUUAAUUCCUCACUGUGAAAAAGAUGUUUUCAAAAUGUUUGGUUUAGGGCUGUUGAAUUAGAAGGAUAUAAAGAACUUUUUAUUUCAUCCUCUCUUGGCUGUAAUAGACAUUUUGUGAUCACAGAAAGUGGGACCAUAAAAGUAACAGAGCAUUAAAAGAAAAAAAAAAAAAAACAGAAAACAGAAAACUGACCAUUUUUAGUCUGUUAUUUAACAAUAUAUUCAUGAAUGGUUUAUUUUAUCAUUAGUAUUUAUGAUAAUACGUAUUUAAAAUAUU